AGGCAGGGUGACCUCUGCUAAGGAUCCCAGGACAAGGUUUUCUUGUGAGAAAAAGGACAAGGGUGUGAGGGAAUCUGCCCAGAGGGUAUAGCCAGUCUCUACUAUUCUGCUAGGACCAAACUCCUCCUGAAGUUCAUGAGGACUGCUACAUGGAGGAACUUGGUGGAGAAGGGACUUUUUGGCCAAAAAGACUCAAAAAAAAAAAAAAGCUGAGUCAGGCCCCUCUGGGACUGUAGUGAAGGAACCCUUUUCUGCCCUCACCCAAAAGAACCCCCACCCAUCCCCCACUUCUCACUGAGGAGGUGGAGGGGCGACAAGGGACUGGACAAGACGCCCCGCAGACUCUCCAGCCAUUCUCGCUGUUCCUUUUCAGUGGGGCAGGUGAAGAUGAAUUUCCGCUCGGGAGUGAUGACGAAAAACCUGGCCCAGCUCAAAAGCAUCCUGAAAGUGGAAGGCAUAGAGUCAUCAGAGGCCUUGGGGCAGAAGAGCCCUUGCAGCUUGGCCAGUCCCAAGGUCAAGUUUGGUAAAGAGGUGUACGUGGUCCAAAGGUUAGGACUGAAUGGCCUGGGCACAGGAGUGACCUAGAACUGUACAUCUGACCCAAACAGGUCACCUGGAGCUCUGGGUUGCUCUGGGCUGUAUAGGCCAAAAGUUAGAGACCGACUGGAAGCCCUCCCUGGGCAAUGCUGGGCAGGACAGCAAGCACCUGCAAGAGGAUUCGCUGCUAGCUGCAGUUAUUAGUCAGCCUGAGAGAAAGAUGGCUGACAAGAGUCAUGAGAGUAUAGACCCAGUCACACAUGAGCCCCCGGUGUGGCUUCUCCAUCCUUCUCCUUUUCCUUGGUCAUGUUUGAGCUCCUGGUAUUAUGAUCUUCUUCUUUUUCUUCCCUCUUGUUUCCUCUUUUAUAAAAAAAAAAUACAUUUAUU
rnacentral:lncRNA from 1 species